rnacentral:tRNA from 4 species
GCGUUCGUAGCUCAACAGGCAGAGCACCGACCUCCCACGUCGGGGGUUGCGAGUUCGAACCUCGCCGAACGCU